rnacentral:rRNA from 1 species
UACGUAGGGUGCGAGCGUUGUCCGGAAUUACUGGGCGUAAAGAGCUCGUAGGUGGUUUGUCGCGUUGUUCGUGAAAACUCACAGCUUAACUGUGGGCGUGCGGGCGAUACGGGCAGACUGGAGUACUGCAGGGGAGACUGGAAUUCCUGGUGUAGCGGUGGAAUGCGCAGAUAUCAGGAGGAACACCGGUGGCGAAGGCGGGUCUCUGGGCAGUAACUGACGCUGAGGAGCGAAAGCGUGGGGGAGCGAACAGG